CAGCAGUAGGGAAUAUUGGGCAAUGGGCGCAAGCCUGACCCAGCCAUGCCGCGUGCAGGAAGAAGGCGUUCGCGUUGUAAACUGCUUUUAUAUAGGAAGAAACGACCCUUGCGAGGGGCAUUGACGGUAUUAUAUGAAUAAGCACCGGCUAACUCCGUG
rnacentral:rRNA from 1 species